GGUGGUGAAGAUGGAGACCCUAAGGAGGAGGAAGGCGAUGGUGAGGAAGGUGGGGGCCCCGAGGAGGAGGAAGGUGAUGGUGAGGAAGGUGAUGGUGAGGAAGGUGAUGGUGAGGAAGGGGAUGGUGAGGAAGAUGAUGAAGAUGA